CCUGCCUUGUAGAGGGGAAGUAGCCUUCCGAAAGGAAAGAUUAAUACCGCAUAACAUUACAUUUUCGCAUGAAGAAGUAAUUAAAGGAAGCAAUCCGCUACAAGAUGGCCGCGGCGCAUUAGCUAGUUGGUGAGGUAACGGCUCACCAAGGCGACGAUGCGUAGCCGACCUGAGAGGGUGAUCGGCCACAUUGGGACUGAGACACGGCCCAGACUCCUACGGGAGGCAGCAUG
rnacentral:rRNA from 1 species